AUUGAACGCUGGCGGCAGGCUUAACACAUGCAAGUCGAGCGGGGGAGGUUGCUUCGGUAACUGACCUAGCGGCGGACGGGUGAGUAAUGCUUAGGAAUCUGCCUAUUAGUGGGGGACAACAUUCCGAAAGGAAUGCUAAUACCGCAUACGCCCUACGGGGGAAAGCAGGGGAUCUUCGGACCUUGCGCUAAUAGAUGAGCCUAAGUCGGAUUAGCUAGUUGGGGGGGUAAAGGCCUACCAAGGCGACGCUCUGUAGCGGGUCUGAGAGGAUGAUCCGCCACACUGGGACUUGGACACGGCCCAGACUCCUACGGGAGUCAGCAGUGGGGAAUAUUGGACAAUGGGCGCAAGCCUGAUCCAGCCAUGCCGCGUGUGUGAAGAAGGCCUUCGGGUUGUAAAGCACUUUCAGUAGGGAGGAAGGGUUAAGUGUUAAUAGUACUUAACUUUGACGUUACCUACAGAAGAAGCACCGGCUAACUCUGUGCCAGCCGCCGCCGUAACAC
rnacentral:rRNA from 1 species